GAUGAACGCUGGCGGCGUGCCUAAUACAUGCAAGUCGAGCGAACAGACGAGGAGCUUGCUCCUCUGACGUUAGCGGCGGACGGGUGAGUAACACGUGGAUAACCUACCUAUAAGACUGGGAUAACUUCGGGAAACCGGAGCUAAUACCGGAUAAUAUAUUGAACCGCAUGGUUCAAUAGUGAAAGACGGUUUUGCUGUUACUUAUAGAUGGAUCCGCGCCGCAUUAGCUAGUUGGUAAGGUAACGGCUUACCAAGGCAACGAUGCGUAGCCGACCUGAGAGGGUGGUCGGCCACACGGGGACCGGGACACGGUCCAACCCCCCCCGGGGGGGAGCCAUUGGGAAUCUUCCGCCAGGGGGGAAAGCCCGAACGGACAACGGCGGGGGGGGGAAGAAGGUUCUCGGUUUCUAAAACUUUUUUUUUAGGGAAAAAAAAAAUUUGAAAUUAAUUUUGCACUUUUUGAGGGUCCCUAACCAGAAAGCCACGGCUAACUCCGUC
rnacentral:rRNA from 1 species